CUAUGGGUCCGCUAUGGGUCUCUAUGGGUCUCUAUGGGUCCGCUAUGGGUCUCAGUGGGUCCGCUAUGGGUCUUUAUGAGUCUGCUAUGGGUUGCUAUGGGUCCGCUCUGGGUCUCUAUGAGUCGCUAUGGGUCCACUAUGAGUCUCUAUAGGUCUCAGUGGGUCUCUAUGGGUCGCUAUGGGUCGCUAUGGGUCCGCUAUGGGUCUCUAUGGGUCUCUAUGGGUUGCUAUGCAUCCGCUAUGGGUCACUAUGGGUCUCUAUGGGUCUCAGUGGGUCGCUAUGGGUGCGCUAUGGGUCUCUAUAGGUCGCUAUGGGUCCGCUCUGGGUCUGCUAUGGGUCUCUGCCCCACACGUACCGGUGUCUCUGCAGCAGCCCCUGGCCGCGGAAGGCGGCGGCCACCACGAGGACGCGGAAGCUGCAGGCGCAGCGCGACGCCGUCGUGUCCUCCACCUCCUGCACGUGUGGGGCGGAUCACAACGCGCCUGCCCCACAUCCCUGCCCCACACCUCACACCCGGACCCACAUCCCGGCCCCACAGCUCACACCCGGCCCCACAUCCCUGCCCCACAUCCCCGCCCCACAUCUCAGACCCGGCCCCACAUCAUGGCCUCACAUCCCAGCCCCACAUCCCCGCCCCACAGCUCACACCCAGCCCCACAUCACAGCCCCACAUCCCGGCCCCACAUCCCCGCCUCACACCUCACACCCGGCCCCACAUCCUGGCCCCACAGCUCACACCCGGCCCCACAUCCUGGCCAUACAUCCCCACCCCACACCUCAGACCCAGCCCCACAUCCUGGCCCCACAUCCCAGCCCCACAUCCCCGCCCCACAGCUCACACCCGGCCCCACAUCCNNNNNNNNNNNNCCCGGCCCCACAUCCCCGCCCCACAGCUCACACCCGGCCUCACAUCCUGGCCCCACAUCCCGGCCCCACAGCUCACACCCGGACCCACAUCCUGGCCCCACAUCCCGGCCCCACAUCCCUACACCAGGCCCCACAUCCUGGCCAUACAUUCCUGCUCCACAUCCCAGCCCCACAUCUCAGACCCGGCCCCACAACUCACAUCCUGGCCCCACAUCCCGGCCCCACAUCCCGGCCCCACAUCCCGGCCCCACAUCCCGGCCCCACAGCUCACACCCAGCCCCACAUCCAGGCCCCACAUCCCUACACCAGGCCCCACAUCCUGGCCAUACAUCCCUGCUCCACAUCCCAGCCCCACAUCCCCGCCCCACAGCUCACACCCGGCCCCACAUCCUGGCCCCAAUCCCCACACCUGGCCCCACAUCCCGGCCCCACAUCCCCGCCCCACAGCUCACACCCGGCCCCACAUCCUGCCCCACAUCCCUGCCCCACAGCUCACACCUGGCCCCACAUCCUGGCCUCACAUCCCUACCCCACAUUCCCGCCCCACAUCCCCGCCCCACAUCUCACACCUGGCCUCACAUCCCCGCCCCACAUCCUGGCCCCACAGCUCACACCUGGCCCCACAUCCCUGCCCCACACCUCACACCCGGCCCCACAUCCCGGCCCCACAUCCCCGCCCCACAGCUCACACCCGGCCCCACAUCCUGGCCCCACAUCCCGGCCCCACAGCUCACACCCGGCCCCACAUCCUGGCCCCACAUCCCCACACCUGGCCCCACAUGACAGCCCCACAUCCUGGCCCCACAGCUCCCCAAAGCCGGGACCCAGACCCCAUACACUGA
rnacentral:lncRNA from 1 species